rnacentral:lncRNA from 1 species
AUACGCAAUUGGCAAAACUGGCAGCUGAAAGGAUCCUGAAUCAGAAGUUUACUUUAUCAGGACAGAGAACUUGACAACCAGGGUCUUAUAUGUAAAAAUACCCGAAUAAAACUCAUUCACUAACUCAGAAGAAAUUUGCAAGACUGUGAAAAUCUUUGAAUACAAUGUAAAAGUUUUUACUCCAACACAGUGAAAAGGUGAGAAUGUUUUAUACAUCAAUAUAAAAAUUGACCUGAAGUACCCAUGACAUUGAAUAUGUAUGUUCUGAAGAG